rnacentral:tmRNA from 1 species
GGGGAUGUAUUGGUUUUCGACAGUAUCCCAGAAGCAUAUGAAGCGAGUAGUGGAUGGCUGCUUUGGCCACUAUAAAAAAGCAGAAAUAAAAAUAAACGCUGAUAAUAAUAGAGAAUUAGCAUACGCUGCCUAAGAAUAGGUAGCUCGUCUUUCUAAGAAGGCCUACGGUUUUGGAAAAGGCGUAAGUUUAGUAGGAUAACAAAUCUAACUUUGCUAUUAAGCUAGAAGGUAUUUAAAUAGCUACUUCUAAAAUACGGUUGUUUGUUACUGUAUUUUAGAGGAAAACUUAAUAACAAACUGCACUCGGAGAAACAUAUGUGGAAAGAAUAUUGGACAGGGGUUCGAGUCCCCUCAUCUCCACCA